GAUGAACGCUGGCGGCGUGCCUAAUACAUGCAAGUCGAGCGAACGGACGAGAAGCUUGCUUCUCUGAUGUUAGCGGCGGACGGGUGAGUAACACGUGGAUAACCUACCUAUAAGACUGGGAUAACUUCGGGAAACCGGAGCUAAUACCGGAUAAUAUUUUGAACCGCAUGGUUCAAAAGUAAAAGACGGUCUUGCUGUCACUUAUAGAUGGAUCCGCGCUGCAUUAGCUAGUUGGUAAGGUAACGGCUUACCAAGGCAACGAUGCAUAGCCGACCUGAGAGGGUGAUCGGCCACACUGGAACUGAGACACGGUCCAGACUCCUACGGGAGGCAGCAGUAGGGAAUCUUCCGCAAUGGGCGAAAGCCUGACGGAGCAACGCCGCGUGAGUGAUGAAGGUCUUCGGAUCGUAAAACUCUGUUAUUAGGGAAGAACAGAUGUGUAAGUAACUGUGCACAUCUUGACGGUACCUAAUCAGAAAGCCACGGCUAACUACGUG
rnacentral:rRNA from 1 species